UACGUAGGGACCAAGCGUUGUUCGGAUUUACUGGGCGUAAAGGGCGCGUAGGCGGCUUGACAAGUCACUUGUGAAAUCUCCGGGCUUAACUCGGAACGGCCAAGUGAAACUGUCAUGCUAGAGUGCAGAAGGGGCAAUCGGAAUUCUUGGUGUAGCGGUGAAAUGCGUAGAUAUCAAGAGGGACACCUGAGGUGAAGACGGGUUGCUGGGCUGACACUGACGCUGAGGCGCGAAAGCCAGGGGAGCAAACGGG
rnacentral:rRNA from 1 species